rnacentral:lncRNA from 1 species
GAUGUGGAAUGCUGGAGCUACAGUCUUACUUUCUCCUGGGGUCUGAAGAUUUCCUCUCUGCCCUCCCUGCUCUUCAAUUGCCAUCAUGAAGCUCCUGGCGUUCCUGGUCCUGGUGGCCGUUUCCACCUUCCUGGUCUCUGGCCAGAAUGCAACGGAUGCUCCCUCUGACACCUCUUCUGCUGCCUCCACUGCUGCCGUGACCACUGCCCCUGCUUCCACGACCUCUGCCGCCAGCACCACUGCUGCUACUACCAGGAAGAACCUUCUUUCAGGUAGUAAGACCACCCAUCUAAGUGCUUUCAUUAUGGGGCUCCUGGGUUCCCUAUUCUCACAGUAAAGUAUAUUUGAGGGGCAGCGAGGAGAAGUCAUGAGAAAAGCCCAGUUUCCUUCUCAUUAUUCUCUAAUUCCUUGUGAUUUCACAAAUCAAGUCAACAGAUACACAUCAGAGGAGCCAGGAGGGUACAGCUUCUCAUUUACCAAUUUUACCUGCACGGCUCUUGAACUAUCAGCACUUAAUAGGGAAAAUUCAUUUUUAGUAGCAAUGACAUUGGAAAGACUAAAGUAGGUGCCUCAUGUGGCCAGGUUACUAUUUAUGUUUGUUUUGUUUUUUUUUUGGUGAGGAAGAUUGAUCCUGAGCUAACAUCUGUUGCCAAUCUUCCUCUAUUUUGUGUGUGGGACGCUGCCACAGCUUGGCUUGAUGGACUGUGGGUAGGUCUAUGCCUGGACUCCGAACCCACGAAACCCAAGCCACCAAGCAGACUGUGUGAACUUAACUGCUGUGCCACCGGUGCAGUCCCCAUCCUUGUUUUUUAAUCAGAAAAUUCUUUGUUUCCUUUCAAGAAUUUUCCAAAAAUAGAAAAUGGCUUUAUAAUGAGGCUUCCUUGAGGCAGAAUGUUUUGAGAGUUAUUUAGGGUAUUUCUGGGAAUUUGGAACUGCAAAGAGGAUUAGGUACCGUCUUCCUCUUCCUAUGUCAUUUUUCCUGCUCCUUCUACUUUCAUGUAACGUUGAUUACCAAAUUUGUUGACUCUGAAUAUAUGCCAGGCCUCAUGGUAUACACCUCACAUAUAUAAUGCAUUUAAAUCUCAUAGUAACUCUAUGAAAUAAACAUUUUAAAGAAGAAGAAAUGAAAUAGUUA